UACGCAGGGUGCAAGCGUUGUCCGGAAUUAUUGGGCGUAAAGAGCUCGUAGGCGGUUUGUUGCGUCGGCUGUGAAAUCCCGAGGCUCAACCUCGGGUCUGCAGUCGAUACGAGCAAACUAGAGUGUUGCAGGGGAGACUGGAAUUCCUGGUGUAGCGGUGAAAUGCGCAGAUAUCAGGAAGAACACCCGUGGCUAAGGCGGCUCUCUAGUACGGUACUGACGCUGAGACGCGAAAGCGUGGGGAGCGAACAGG
rnacentral:rRNA from 1 species